GGCCGCGCGGCUGCAGCCGGGAGCGCGGACUCGGGGUGUCGGGCGGUGUCCGCGCCCCUCCCCACCCCAGGGCCCUUCUCGGGGGAGAUAUCCAGGAGCUGAAAGAGAUUCCUCAGGAGGAAGUGGAAACCUCUGAAAGGAGAGGAAACCGACUCUUUUGCAAGAAAACUGAGCGCCGGCUGGAAGGCAAGGAAGCCGAGGCGGCCGGGGAGAUUCACCCACAUGCCUGUUGACUCGGGCCCAGUACCUGCGUCUCCUUCCUUCUCUUUCUGGCCCUCAUUUCCCCUGCUUCUCACUUUAGUUCACUGCUGUUUUAAAAAUUCAUAUGCGGGCUCAUUUAAAAAGCAAUUUCACAUUUUAAAGACUGCAGCAGCAGAGGGAGAAUUACAAAUAGGAUUGAUUUAAUUAGCUGGUAAUGCUUCUCUCAUGCCCUAUAAUUAAACAGAAAUCCUAAUGGCGUUUCAGGGCCCAAAAGUGAUUAUUACUAGCAUAUUUUACAUUUACAUUAAAACGCUGUCCCCGGGGUGUAAUCCAGGAUCUGGCUCCAUUUAUUCAAAUUUCUAACCUGAGUACUGAAGCCAGAAUACUGCUCCCCAGCAAUGGAAGGAUGGCGUGUGGGGGCUGUGGUUUGGUUUGUUUGGCUAAUUUUAACUUUUGUUCUGUUCUGUUCCUAAGGCCUAAGGAAAGCAGCCGAUGGCUCCCAAGACAACUCUGUCCGGCCAGUACUCCAGGGCAACUUCAACCCCACUAGGACCCAGGCCAAAACCAUAUAUAUAUAUAUAUAUAUAUAAAUUAACGCAAAACAGAGCCACUUUGGUGCCUACCCCUCCACAAGUAGGUAGGCACAUCCAGGUAGCUCUGUCAGAAGAUGGGACCUGGCGCCUUGCAGGGGUAGCCCUAUGGAGAUCCAGAAGCCCCGUUUCGAGCUACGAAGUCUCUCUUCUACUGCAGUCUUCUCUCCAACGUGGAGAUCUAGCAACUUCCCUCCCCCUGGGAUUCCCUGUGAAUCCACUCUAGUUGGGAUAUAGCCUCUCUACAGCUCAGUGACGUAGCGCGCCAAAACCAAGUACCCACCCCGGCAACUGGAAGACCUAGCUGUCCUCCAUCCCGCCUCCGCAGUCGAUAAUCUCCAGGAUCCAAGCAAAGUGCCUGUCCACGUUGUCACCAGAUCCACAAGCGCUUUUGAUGAGAGCUGCUACCCUUUUGGAAACACGAUUCCCUCUCCCUAGUAGAGAAGAAUCUAUUCUUCUGGGCUGGCGUAGACAAAGAAUAACCAAGAUAAAGUAUGUGGUGUGAAAAUA
rnacentral:lncRNA from 1 species